AUUGAACGCUGGCGGCAGGCCUAACACAUGCAAGUCGAGCGGAGCGGCGGACGGGUGAGUAAUGCCUAGGAAUCUGCCUGGUAGUGGGGGAUAACGUCCGGAAACGGGCCCUAAUACCGCAUACUAUCAGAUCAGCCUCGGUUGGAUUAGCUUGUUGGUGGGGUAAAGGCCUACCAAGGCGACGAUCCGUAACUGGUCUGAGAGGAUGAUCAGUCACACGGGGAAUGAGACACGGUCCAGACUCCUACGGGAGGCAGCAGGGGGGAAUAUUGGACAAUGGGCGAAAGCCUGAUCCAGCCAUGCCGCGUGUGUGACGAAGGUCUUCGGAUCGUAAAGCACGUUAAGUUGGGAGGCGGUACCAACAGAAUAAGCACCGGCUAACUACGUGCCAGCAGCCGAGGUAAUUC
rnacentral:rRNA from 1 species